GUUUACGAAAUUGCGCGUUAAUGCGCAGCGAUGCGGUCAACAAUUGAGAAUCGCACGAUCAGCGAUAUGCGAACGAUAAUGGUGCGCAGUUGCGACACAGUGGGUAUGAAGGUACCCCACACCUAACAUCUGUGGCUAGCGGAAAAGGGAGGCGUAGACCAUUUUGGGAUCUAAUGCGAAUUAGUGCCUGGUACACGAUUUCCCAAUUGGCACGCGGUGCCAUGUAAUCCGUAUCACAAACUUUCCUCAAGCCUAUUGAGCUAUGCCUGAAGUUACUUUGCAUUUCCCGCAAGAUUCUUUAACUCAAGGUCUAUCGCCGACAAGAACAGUAAUAUUUCUAAAGUAGCCAUUGGAGUUGUCCUCAAAGCCUCCAUUAUAUAAAGAUGACUGCCUGAUCCAAUUCUUUUUUUUUUGUCUGCGAGCCAUCAGUAUAGACAGCUUUGCUAGACUGGGAUUAUAACCGGAUAAGGUCUUACGCUCCUACCUAGGAAACUUGCGAGAACCUGAAUUCAAUCAUCUCUUCAUCGUCGGAUAUUAUCGAGUAUAACUGAAACCAGGGGCGCACCCAGGAAUAUAUUUUAGGGGGGUUUUAUAUUUCUGAAGAUAU